GCACUGAAUAUCAGUUACAUAUUAUGUCAAGCUCCCACUUAUGAUUGAUACUUGGAGUUUUUCAAUGUUAUAAAAGAAUAAAGCAUAUAUGUUCCCUUUUGUGGGGCGGGAUUAACUAGAUCCACUUUUCUGAAAGUCAAUGCGGACCUGCGUGUCCACUUAUCCCGUAAACAAGCCGGCCAAUUGACCUGCAAGAUGUAUGUUUUUUCAUGGAUCACCAGUUUUCCUUACUUGUGUUAUGCAUUUAUUAC